UCCUCUGCAGAUUUAAUGAUCAGGAACAUCCUUCUGAUGCAUGCUGGGAGAUAUGGCUGCAGGGUACAGACCACAGCAGACAGUGUGUCAGAUGAGGCAGAACUUCUUGUUAGGGCCUGGACUCUGAAUGAUUCUUCAUUAAUCCACACAAAAUCCAUGCAGCCUGAACGGAGGGCUAACACUGAUUGGAAGAAACUUUCACUGCAAAUUGGAUUUUGUCCUCCCAAACACCUGGCAAAGAAAGAUCACCUUCGAUGGAUGGAGAGUAACACUUAUAUACUGGAAUAUAUUUAGAGUGCACAACUCCAACUUAUAUAAAACUACAUUAAGUGUUUAUGCCCCAACUACUUGAAAUUGUUGCUUAAUUUAACUUUCACCUGAAGUUUGUAAUA